rnacentral:tRNA from 2 species
GGAGCGGUAGUUCAGUUGGUUAGAACGCCUGCCUGUCACGCAGGAGGUCGCGGGUUCGAGUCCCGUCCGUUCCG